ncrna:unclassified sequences SAM-I/IV variant riboswitch
ACAAAACAUCAAGAAAGAGUGAUGACACUCUUACCAACCUGCCAACUCCGGCAAGGUGGUUUAAACGAUGUGGCUUUCAGCAACUAAAGGAGGUAAU